rnacentral:rRNA from 1 species
CAACCUGUCGUCUACUCUUGGACAGCCUUCUGAAAGGAAGAUUAAUACAAGAUGGCAUCAUGAGUCCGCAUGUUCACAUGAUUAAAGGUAUUCCGGUAGACGAUGAGGAUGCGUUCCAUUAGAUAGUAGGCGGGGUAACGGCCCACCUAGUCUUCGAUGGAUAGGGGUUCUGAGAGGAAGGUCCCCCACAUUGGAACUGAGACACGGUCCAAACUCCUACGGGAGGCAGCAGUGAGGAAUAUUGGUCAAUGGGCGAGAGCCUGAACCAGCCAAGUAGCGUGAAGGAUGACUGCCCUAUGGGUUGUAAACUUCUUUAUAAAGGAAUAAAGUCGGGUAUGGAUACCCGUUUGCAUGUACUUUAUGAAUAAGGAUCGGCUAACUCCGUGCCAGCAGCCGCGGUAAUACGGAGGAUCCGAGCGUUAUCCGGAUUUAUUGGGUUUAAAGGGAGCGUAGAUGGAUGUUUAAGUCAGUUGUGAAAGUUUGCGGCUCAACCGUAAAAUUGCAGUUGAUACUGGAUAUCUUGAGUGCAGUUGAGGCAGGCGGAAUUCGUGGUGUAGCGGUGAAAUGCUUAGAUAUCACGAAGAACUCCGAUUG